UACGUAGGGUGCAAGCGUUAAUCGGAAUUACUGGGCGUAAAGCGUGCGCAGGCGGUUUUGUAAGACCGGUGUGAAAUCCCCGGGCUUAACCUGGGAACUGCAUUGGUGACUGCAAGGCUUGAGUGUGUCAGAGGGAGGUGGAAUUCCGCGUGUAGCAGUGAAAUGCGUAGAUAUGCGGAGGAACACCGAUGGCGAAGGCAGCCUCCUGGGAUAACACUGACGCUCAUGCACGAAAGCGUGGGGAGCAAACAGG
rnacentral:rRNA from 1 species